rnacentral:rRNA from 1 species
GGAUAAGUAAUGAAGGGCGCACGGAGGAUGCCUGGGCGUCAAGUGCCGAAGAAGGACGGGGCGAACACCGAAAUGCCUCGGGGAGCCGUACGCAGGCUGUGAUCCGAGGGUCUCCGAAUGGGGGAACCCCUCUUGCGUGAUGGCAAGAGACCGGCCGCUGAAUCCAUAGGCGGUCAGGAGGGCACCGAGGGAACUGAAACAUCUCAGUACCUCGAGGAAAAGAAAACAACCGUGAUUCCCGAAGUAGCGGCGAGCGAACCGGGAAGAGUCCAAACUGUGUACGUGUAAGCCUGCGUGCGUUGCGUACAGAGGGUAGCGGGGCCUGAGAGCGACUCCAUGCAGGGAGUCGGGUUUGGCGGAACAAUGUAGGAGAACGGCAUGGGAAGGCCGGCCAAAGCGGGUGAGAGCCCCGUAUCCGACACGUUGUGCAGCAGACUUGUCAGGACCCCAAGUAGGGCGGGACACGAGAAAUCCCGUUUGAAUCCGGGAGGACCACCUCCUAAGACUCAAUACGCUUGACGACCGAUAGUGCAGAAGUACCGUGAGGGAAAGGUGAAAAGCACCGCGGGAGCGGAGUGAAAGAGAACCUGAAACCGUGUGCCUACAAGCAGUCGGAGCACCGUGGCCCGCAAGGGACCAGGGGUGUGACGGCGUGCCUUUUGUAGAAUGAACCGGCGAGUGUCGAUGGCCAGCGAGGUUAAGGUUGAGAGACCGGAGCCACAGCGAAAGCGCGUCUGAAGAGGGCGAGAGUUGGUCGUCGACGACCCGAAACCGUGUGAUCUACCCCUGUCCAGGGUGAAGUGGCGGUAACACGCUAUGGAGGCCCGAACCCACUGACGUUGAAAAGUCAGGGGAUGAGGUGGGGGUAGGGGAGAAAUUCCAAUCGAACACGGAGAUAGCUGGUUCUCCCCGAAAUCGCUUUAGGGCGAGCGUCGAAGGCAGGGCCGCGGAGGUAGAGCGACGGAUUGGGCUAGGGGCCUGCAUAAGGUUACCGAACCCAGUCAAACUCCGAAUGCCGCGUGCGUAUCUUCGGCAGUCAGACUAUGAGUGCUAAGAUCCAUAGUCAAGAGGGAAACAGCCCGGACCAACAGCUAAGGCCCCCAAGUGUCCGUUAAGUGGGAAACGAUGUGGCGGUGCACAGACAACCAGGAUGUUGGCUUAGAAGCAGCCACCAUUGAAAGAGUGCGUAAUAGCUCACUGGUCGAGUGACGCUGCGCGGAAAAUGUAACGGGGCUAAACGGACCGCCGAAGCUUUGGCUACACGCAAGUGUGGGGUAGGGGAGCGUUCUGUGGGCGGAGAAGUCAGAUUGUGAAGUCUGGUGGAGCGCACAGAAGUGAGAAUGCCGGUAUGAGUAGCGAAAAGACCAGUGAGAAUCUGGUCCGCCGAAAGCCUAAGGUUUCCUGGGGAAGGCUCGUCCGCCCAGGGUAAGUCGGGACCUAAGCGGAGGCCGAAAGGCGUACGCGACGGACAACGGGUGGAGAAUCCCGUACCACUGUGAAGCGUUUGACCGACGGGGGGACGCAGGAGUGUCAGGAGAGCGGCCGACUGGAAGAGGCCGUCUAACACGCGAGGGGGUCACGCAGGGAAAUCCGCGUGGCGGUAACUCUGAGCGUGGAUGGGGAGCGAAGCAUAGUAGCGAAGCUCUGGGACACACACUGCCAAGAAAAGCCUCUAGGGAGUAACACAGUGCCCGUACCGUAAACCGACACAGGUAGGCGAGGAGAGAAUCCUCAGGCGCGCGGGAGAACUCUCGUUAAGGAACUCUGCAACAUGGCCCCGUAACUUCGGGAGAAGGGGCGCUCAUGGGAACAUGAGCCGCAGUGAAAAGGUCCAAGCGCCUGUUUAGCAAAAACACAGGUCUCUGCAAAGCCGAAAGGCGACGUAUAGGGGCUGACGCCUGCCCGGUGCUGGAAGGUUAAGAGGAGGGGUAAGCCUUUAGGCGAAGCUCUGAAUUGAAGCCCCAGUAAACGGCGGCCGUAACUAUAACGGUCCUAAGGUAGCGAAAUUCCUUGUCAGGUAAGUUCUGACCCGCACGAAUGGCGUAACGACUUGGGCGCUGUCUCAACGAGAGACCCGGUGAAAUUGUAAUACCUGUGAAGAUGCAGGUUACCCGCGGCUAGACGGAAAGACCCCGUGGAGCUUGACUGUAACUUGAUAUGGAAGACGGGUAUUUCAUGUACAGGAUAGGUGGGAGACGUAGAAGCAUGACCGCCAGGUUGUGUGGAGUCGACGUUGGGAUACCACCCUUGGAAUGCCUGUUUUCUAACCUAGUGCCCUGAAACGGGUGCGGGGACAGUGUCAGGUGGACAGUUUGACUGGGGCGGUCGCCUCCUAAAGAGUAACGGAGGCGCCCAAAGGUUCCCUCAGCGCGGAUGGAAAUCGCGCGAAGCGUGUAAAGGCAAAAGGGAGCUUGACUGCGAGACGGACAGGUCGAGCAGGGACGAAAGUCGGGCUUAGUGACCCGGUGGCACCGAGUGGAAGGGCCAUCGCUCAACGGAUAAAAGCUACCCCGGGGAUAACAGGCUGAUCUCCCCCAAGAGUCCACAUCGACGGGGAGGUU